UACAGAGGGUGCGAGCGUUAAUCGGAAUUACUGGGCGUAAAGCGCGCGUAGGCGGCUUUGCAAGUCGGGUGUGAAAUCCCCAGGCUUAACCUGGGAACUGCAUUCGAGACUGCAUUGCUAGAGUAUGGGGAGAGGGAAGUGGAAUUUCCGGUGUAGCGGUGAAAUGCGUAGAUAUCGGAAGGAACAUCAGUGGCGAAGGCGGUCUGCUGGGCAGUUGCUGACACUGAGGCGCGACAGCGUGGGGAGCAAACAGG
rnacentral:rRNA from 1 species